UACGGGGGGGGCAAGCGUUGUUCGGAAUUACUGGGCGUAAAGGGCUCGUAGGCGGCCAACUAAGUCAGACGUGAAAUCCCUCGGCUUAACCGGGGAACUGCGUCUGAUACUGGAUGGCUUGAGUUUGGGAGAGGGAUGCGGAAUUCCAGGUGUAGCGGUGAAGUGCGUAGAUAUCUGGAGGAACACCAGUGGCGAAGGCGACACGCUGGGCCGUACCUGACGCUAAAGCGCGACAGCAUGGGGAGCAAACGGG
rnacentral:rRNA from 1 species